rnacentral:rRNA from 1 species
UACGAAGGGUGCAAACGUUGCUCGGAAUCAUUGGGCGUAAAGCGCACGUAGGCGGCCUUGCAAGUCGGAUGUGAAAUCCCUCGGCUCAACCGAGGACGUGCAUUCGAAACUGCUUGGCUCGAGUAUGGAAGAGGGUCGCGGAAUUCCCGGUGUAGAGGUGAAAUUCGUAGAUAUCGGGAGGAACACCAGUGGCGAAGGCGGCGACCUGGGCCAAUACUGACGCUGAGGUGCGAAAGCGUGGGGAGCAAACAGG